AUACGAAAGGUGCAAGCGUUGUUCGGAUUUACUGGGCGUAAAGAGAGUGUAGGUUGUUUAUUAAGUCGGAUGUGAAAUCCCGGGGCUCAACCUCGGAACUGCAUUCGGUACUGAUAGGCUAGAGUUUGGGAGGGGUAAGCGGAAUUCCGUGUGUAGCAGUGAAAUGCGUAGAUAUACGGAGGAACACCUGAGGCGAAGGCGGCUUACUGGACCAAUACUGACACUGAGACUCGAAAGCGUGGGUAGCAAACAGGAUUAGAAACCCUUGUAGUCC
rnacentral:rRNA from 1 species